GCCCAGUGAUGAGACCAAGGCGAAUACGAGCUUACUAAAUGAGAGUUGGGUUCUUCUUUGCCUUGACUGGCAGGUAAUCUUGGCAGUGCAGAGGAGCAUUCCUGCUCUGCUGUAAGGGCCUGCCUACAGUGACUUUGCUCAACCCAAAUUAUUCCUCUACAGUCACAGCGGAGUAUAUGCUGGGCUGAAGCUGACAGAGAGAAGAGAGAGAGAGAGAGUGAGUGUUUGUGUGUGUGUGUGUUUGUGUGAAUGAGUGAGAGAGGCAAGAAGUUUACCCAGCUCUCUUUGCUGUUCAGUUAGCAAUGAGUUGCUUCUUUGGUAAUCUGAGGGCA